AGUUUGAUCCUGGCUACAGAACGAACGCUGGCGGCAGGCUUAACACAUGCAAGUCGAGCGCCCCGCAAGGGGAGCGGCAGACGGGUGAGUAACGCGUGGGAAUCUACCUAGUUCUACGGAACAACUCAGGGAAACUUGAGCUAAUACCGUAUACGCCCUUCGGGGGAAAGAUUUAUCGGAAUUAGAUGAGCCCGCGUUGGAUUAGCUAGUUGGUGAGGUAAUGGCUCACCAAGGCGACGAUCCAUAGCUGGUCUGAGAGGAUGAUCAGCCACACUGGGACUGAGACACGGCCCAGACUCCUACGGGAGGCAGCAGUGGGGAAUGUUGGACAAUGGGCGCAAGCCUGAUCCAGCCAUGCCGCGUGAGUGAUGACGGCCUUAGGGUUGUAAAGCUCUUUCAACGGUGAAGAUAACGACGGUAACCGUAGAAGAAGCCCCGGCUAACUUCGUG
rnacentral:rRNA from 1 species